GUUUCGAUGGACUGAGAAUGUGCAACAUAGCAACGGGUUCUGGGCGCGCGCCUUGUGGAUGCGGAACUGAGAGCGCGCAUUAACGAGGCAACGUAACUAAUCCCGGUGCUUUAUUUCACAAAGCUGCGCUCCGUUAAAGAUGUAUUGUUUCCGUUAAAUAUGUCUUGGCUCUAACGCUGGCCCCAGUACAGUUUUACUUAAUAUCGGACAACAAAUCUGUACCAAAGGAUAACUUUUCUUGACUCAUCUCGUCUGUGACUUAAAGCAAAGCAGCAAUGGUGUGAAAAGGUGUGAUCAGGGAUGUGGAUCAUGGUGUGGGCUGUUGAACGUCAAGGCCAAAAACACAAAGGAGAUCCAAGAGUAUAGUUUAAGGAGGCAGAGAACGAGCCGAGAGUGGGAGUAGGAAUACGGGAUGAUGUAGGACUGAACUGAGAGCAGGUGAACACAGCUGUGGACUGCCGCCGGCUCUCUUCAUCCUCUCCUCCCUCUCUUCUUCCUCUCCUCAGAGGCUCCGGCUCAGUGUCUCGGGGUCUUGGGGAGACAGCAGGGGCCGGCCAGGCUUCAACGGAGUGGGCAGCAGAGGCGGGCAGUUGCACCCACCGGGCACAGGCUCCUCAGCAGAGCAAUCAAUAUGGAGGGAAGAGGCUGCCAGGGGUCAGGCGACGCAGCCCCGGGCCAUGGUGCCAAGGGAUCACCAGCGCUCAUCUCUCCCUUUACCAGUCAACUUGCAUCAGCCAAAACCAGACCAUGUGUGAGAGCAAGAGAGUGUGUGUGGUUCUGCCGGAGGGACCUUUAGUCCCAGCACCACUUGAUAAAACUUUGUCUGCGGGAGAAUGAACAGAAAAAGAGUGUCAAAGGUCUUUUUCCCUCUCCUCAAUUCCUUUUUUUACUGUGAGUGCACAUUCCCAGUGACUGUUUGAAUGAGGGCUUGACGCACAAUCCCUCUUACAGGCCCUCCUCCAAGCCUCUACAUCAGAUGAGCUGGCAAGAGAGGACAACUUGAACUUUUGUCUUUUUUGGAGGACAUUUUUUGCCUUUUCUGUUGUAGAUUAAAUUAGAUGAUUUUUUUUUUUAAAUCCUCACCACUGAGAGCUUCUAAAAAGGCUUUGGUUGUAAUCCACAUGAAGAGGCUUGGCACUCUUGUCUACAUACUUUAAUACUGGUGGACCUCCACAGUACCAGGUUUUAAUAAGAUGACGUUCAGAGGGAUUGCAAAGUAGAGGAGGCUAAGCUAGAAAACUAGGACUAAAAUUACUCAACAAAAUUUCCCCGUAUGACCCACAUUGUUAUGACCCAAAUCAGCUAUUUCCUGAUCAAGAGCUUAUGAUAAGGAAAGCUCCAUUUCCUUCCAUGGGACACAACAAACAUAGGGGUAUGCCAUGCUUUAAGGUAGUACCAUGUCCUGGUGGAUUCUUUAAGGAAUGAAGUUUACUCUGAGAUGAUGGAGUCUAAUCCUCUGAAAUGGAGUUAGGAGUGCUUUUCAGAGCCUGGAUGGUGUGUUUCAGAUCUGUAGCUGUGACCCACUGCAGGAUGGAAAUGAUAACAUCAAUGAUGUUGUACUGUAAUGAUUGCUUAAAGCAUUUUGUUGUGCUUCUUUUUAUACCGGUGAGUAUUUCAGUAAGGUAAGUUUCCAGUCAUCCCUGAAAACCACUAACAGGAAAGAAUAUAAUUCUGUAUACAAAUAUAAGCUUUAAAUUCAUCAUUUCAAAUGCUUUUUGCUUUUUUUUUAAUGCAGGUCUCUAAGCUAAAAUAAUAGUAAAAUUAUAUGUUGUAAGAUUCUUUUUUUUUUAUCAGCUUUAGUCAGCAUGCUAUAGAAAUCUUAAUUUAAUAAGUUAAUAAUGUAUUAUACAGGGAGGGACGGUGAUAUAAUUUGUAGACAUAUUUGCAUCUUAAAUAACAGACACACAUGACGAAAAAGCAAAACCUGCUCGUACAAUUGUGAUAUCUUCAUCGCCAUAUGUUAAUUACAGCAUAAACUUGGCUUGUAUGGUAAACAUACUGUACAUUUUUAUUCUGUUCCACAUCUGAUAAUUGUUGAAGUAUGCUAUUGUAUGAAUAAUGUGGUAAUAAAAGGAUUAUGCAGAUUGAAUGAACAAUAAAAGUG